GACAGAGGAUGCAAACGUUGUUCGGAAUUACUGGGCGUAAAGCGUGUGUAGGCGGUGAGGUAAGUCGGAUGUGAAAGCCCAGGGCUCAACCCUGGAAGUGCACUCGAUACUGCUUCGCUUGAGUACUGGAGAGGUUGGUGGAAUUCUCGGUGUAGAGGUGAAAUUCGUAGAUAUCGAGAGGAACAUCUGUGGCGAAGGCGGCCAACUGGACAGAUACUGACGCUGAGACACGAAAGUGCGGGGAGCAAACAGG
rnacentral:misc_RNA from 1 species